AUAGAACGCUGGCGGCAUGCCUUACACAUGCAAGUCGAACGGCAGCAUGAUCUAGCUUGCUAGAUUGAUGGCGAGUGGCGAACGGGUGAGUAAUACAUCGGAACGUGCCCUGUAGUGGGGGAUAACUAGUCGAAAGAUUAGCUAAUACCGCAUACGACCUGAGGGUGAAAGUGGGGGACCGCAAGGCCUCAUGCUAUAGGAGCGGCCGAUGUCUGAUUAGCUAGUUGGUGAGGUAAAGGCUCACCAAGGCGACGAUCAGUAGCUGGUCUGAGAGGACGAUCAGCCACACUGGGACUGAGACACGGCCCAGACUCCUACGGGAGGCAGCAGUGGGGAAUUUUGGACAAUGGGCGAAAGCCUGAUCCAGCAAUGCCGCGUGUGUGAAGAAGGCCUUCGGGUUGUAAAGCACUUUUGUCCGGAAAGAAAUGGCUCUGGUUAAUACCUGGGGUCGAUGACGGUACCGGAAGAAUAAGGACCGGCUAACUACGUG
rnacentral:rRNA from 1 species